rnacentral:rRNA from 1 species
GUUGCAGUUAAAAAGCUCGUAGUUGAAGUUUUGGAUAGUAGUCUUUGUCUUUUCCGGCUUGGGGAGCAAUCCUCUUCGGGAAGGGCACUCUCUCCACAUUGUGGACCAUCCCUUUUUGUCUUUGCGAUUUUUUUCGCGAAAGCAGAAAGGGCCACUCCGUCACUGAGAGCAAAUUGGAGUGCUCAAAGCAGGCUUUACAGCUUUGAACAUAUUAGCUUGGAAUGACAAGAUACGACUCUGGUCGGUUUAUUUUGUUGGUUAUUUAGACUAGAGUAAUGAUUAACAGGAACAGUAGCGGGGGUACUCGUAUUGAAAGGUCAGAGGUGAAAUUCUUGGAUUCUUUCAAGACGAACGACUGCGAAAGCAUUUACCAAGGAUGUUUUCAUUAAUCAAGAACGAAAGCCUGGGGAUCGAAGAUGAUUAGAUACCAUCGUAGUCCAACGCCAUAAACGAUGCCGACUCGGGAUUGGUAGGUGUUCUUUUUAAAACAUGAACCCUAUCAGCACCGUAUGAGAAAUCAAAGUCUUUGGGUUCCGGGGGGAGUAUAGUCGCAAGGAAGAAACUUAAAGGAAUUGACGGAAGGGCACACCAGAGGUGGAGCCUGCGGUUUAAUUUGACUCAACACGGGAAAACUUACCAGGUCCAGACAUGAUGAGGAUUGACAGUUUGAAAGCACUUUCUUGAUUUCAUGGGUGGUGGUGCAUGGCCGUUCUUAGUUGGUGGAGUGAUUUGUCUGGUUGAUUCCGAUAACGAACGAGACGGGGGGAGUUUACUAGUUUGCAUAAUCUAAUUCGCGUUAGAUGGAACUUCUUUACUCGACAACUCGGUUUUACCGAGAGGAAGCGCCCCGCAAUAACAGGUCUGUGAUGCCCUUAGAUGUUCUGGGCUACACGCGCGCUACAAUGACGAGUUCAACGAGUUUUUUAUUCCUUGUCCGGAAGGAUGUGGGUAAUCUUUUCAAUGCUCGUCGUGAUGGGGCUAGAUUUUUGCAAUUAUUAAUCUUCAACGAGGAAUCUCUAGUAUGUGCAGUUCAUCAGACUGCGCAGAAUGCGUCCCUGCCCUUUGUACACACCGCCCGUCGCACCUACCGAUUGGACGAUCCGGCAAGAUGUUUGGAGUGUUGUGUUUGUGUGAUUUCGAUCAUGUGAACAUGACGCAAAGCUC